CACUACCAUGUCGACUCACGCAAAGAAGCUCAUCUCAUCUUUCCUCAUUCUCUCCUUUCUCCUGCAGGUGUUUGUGGAAGCAUCUUUGGAUAUUGUGGACGGAUACGGAUAAGUAGCAGCUCUUUAACACAAAAGUCAUAAAUCCAAGAUCAGUAUGCCUUAUUUUCC